GAUGAACGCUGGCGGCGUGCCUAAUACAUGCAAGUCGAGCGAACGGACGAGAAGCUUGCUUCUCUGAUGUUAUCGGCGGACGGGUGAGUAACACGUGGUUAACCUACCUAUAAGACUGGGAUAACUUCGGGAAACCGGAGCUAAUACCGGAUAAUAUUUUGAACCUCAUGGUUCAAAAGUGAAAGACGGUCUUGCUGUCACUUAUAGAUGGAUCCGCGCUGCAUUAGCUAGUUGGUAAGGUAACGGCUUACCAAGGCAACGAUGCAUAGCCGACCUGAGAGGGUGAUCGGACACACGGGAACUGAGAAACGGUCCAGACUCCUACGGGAGGCAGCAGUAGGGAAUCUUACGGAAGGGGCGAAAGCCUGACGGAGCAACGCCGCGUGAGGGAUGAAGGUCUUCGGAUCGUAAAACUCUGUUAUUAGGGAAGAAGAUAUGUGUAAGUAACUGUGAACAUCUUGACGGUACCUAAUCAGAAAGCCACGGCUAACUACGUG
rnacentral:rRNA from 1 species